AUUCUGCCCAUGCGGGGAAGGAUGAGAAGCUUCGACCAAGGUUCGACUUGAGCGCCAGCGAGAGAGCGUUGCCGCAGGCAACGACCCGAAGAGCGAAGCGCGCAGCGCUGAGUAAUCCUUCCCCCACCACCA
rnacentral:sRNA from 1 species